UUUUGCUACGUCCCAAACAAGCCUCAUUUAAGGCUUCUGCUAGAUUCAUUAAAUAUAUAUAAUCACGUGCAUAAGCGAAUAUCAAUAAUUAAACUACUGUCUACUCCAUUCAAAAUAAUAACAAUUCACGUUUAUGAGUUAACAAUAUUUUUCAACAUCUAGCACUUUCAUUCUGACACAACCUUAAACAGUGGAGCGACUCGGAGCAGGGUUAGGAAAUACCUUUACCUACUCUGCGGUGGUUCGUACACACCGAUGACUACAUGUUAGACUGAUCUCUAUUUACAAAAAGGGAAAACAAAAGGGGUGUGAGUCUCAAACUCAGUGAACAUCAUCGACCUUGUGAGUAGGCGAGAAGGGGAAACAAACAUAAAGGUGGAAUGUUUAUAAAUCCAAGAGUAAGCAUAGAAAAUACAUUCCAUAAAAUUGAGAGAUUUUGCUUUUAUACCUUGCAAUUCUUAAAAAUAAUAAUUCACAAGUAAACAUAUAUGAAAAUAGCUGUAUUUAGGGUACUAGAAAAUCUUUCAACCCCGACAUCCAGUCAUCAUUAAAUUCAAUGACAAGUAAAAAAUGAAAUUUCUCAAAAAUAAAAAGGUGAAUUAAUUGAUCACCAAUGAAUAGGUAAAUUUCACUUGCCAUUAAAUAAAAAUUUUCAAGUAUUAAUGCCAUGCAUAAUGAAAUAAAAAUCUACAAGUGAGCAUCAUCCUCAGGUAGGUUUAAUAUAGCCCUUAGGCUUACUCUCUCAUACAUCAUCACCUACUCGUGGGAACUACCCAUGCCACCAUAUGAAUUGGGACUUCAGGUCCCCCUUUACCUACUCAUGGGAACUACCCAUACCACCAUACAUAAAUCGGGGCUUCAAGUCCCCCUUUACCUACUCAUGGGAACUACCCACGCAACCACCAUACAUAAAUCGGGGCUUCAGGUCCCCUUUUACCUACUCGUGGGAACUACCCAUACCACCAUACAUAAAUCGAGGCUUCAGGUCCCCCUUUACCUACUCAUGGGAACUACCCAUGCCACCAUAUAUAAAUAAAGGCUUCAGGUCCCCUUUUUUAAAUCAAAUAUCAAUAAUCGACAAUUAUUACUUUGUGCACAAAGACCACACUUGACCUAGUGUGGUAACAAGUCCUACUCAGAGUAUCUCAAUCAUGUUAAAAUAAAAUCAUUGCAAUUUAAUACAUUUGCAUAACAUGACAAAUUAAAAACCAUAUAAUCAUAAAAUGAAUAUUAUGCAUAAUUUCUUUCAAAGCAUGGCAUAUUUACCAAAUCAGCAUGCUAAGUGAAAUAAAUAAUUUAUCAUCAAGUUUUAUGAAUCAAUACAAAGGCCAUUGGCCUAAACAUCACACAAACUUGCAAGGUAUGAUUUUGAAGUGAAAGCCAGUCAAAGGUUUAUUUCCCCGUUUUUAAAAACAUGUAGAUAUAUAUAUUUUUAUAUAUUAUAAAAAAAUGAAUUUAAAAUCCGUGUUACAAACACAAACAACCUAAUACUUUCUACCAACUCACGCUGUCCACAAUUUCAUCAAUUAUCAAAUGUAACAUAUAUAUUAUGUUAUAGGGGCAUAGUUUUGAAAUUUAGCACCCACUCACCUCACAAUAGUGGGAGCUACUUCGCUAUUGUUUCGUGCGUGUAUUUAGCUAUUCUUUCUUCCUUUUCAUUUUUCUCUCCUUCUCCCCUUGCUGUCGAUCUUCCUUCCAGCCGACAUUUCUCUUUCUCUUCUUCCUCUUUCUCCUCUAGCACCGUCGCUGCUUCCUCUCUCUUUCUCCUUCUUUUUCUUUCUUCUUCCUUCCCUCUCUUUCUUCUCCUCGACGCCACUUGUCACAACCUGGAACUCCCAUCGAGCCCGUGACAAUCACCGCGACAUCUCGAUAGACAUUCAUUACUUGGAAUGUCAAUCGAAACCUCGCAAGGCUUAACAUAAGUUUUUCUCGCUUCCCCUGUGAGUAUUAGUUACUAAAAUCAUCUUUUGAGAGAUUAUAAACUAUUUCCAAAUCAAAACAAUAGAAAAAUAAUUUUUUUUCUCAUAGGGGCAUUUUGGUCAUUUUUCUUCAAAAAUUUCGAAACCAGCUAAAUAUAUAGUAUGCGAGUAUAAAACACAUAAUUCAUAAUCAAAAAUAAGUUUAAAAGUCUAUAACCUUCAUUUAAAAUGAAAUUAUGAUUAUUUGGAUAUAAUAAAAAAAUAAAAGAAAUAUUCAAUAAAAUAUUCUAUUUUUUUAUAAAACAAUAUUUUUAGAAUUAUACGUAAAUAAUUUUUACAACGUAAAAGCAAAAUAAAUUCAUACAUACUAUAAUACAGUAAGCCAGAGUAUUUAAUUUAAUUUACAAUAACCAGUGGGCCCCCCGAAUAACCAAAAGUAAGGAAGACUGUGAACCUACAAUUUGGAAGAUGCAAGUCUAACUGUAGCCCUCAACAAAGUGAGCUAUCUACCGACUAUCUUGAGCUUGAAAUGGGUGAAAAAGAGGGUGGUGAGAUUAUAUAAUCCCAGUGAGUAAACAAAUACCAUCUAAAAUAUCUAAAGCCGAGUAAAUGGAGAUAGAUAAAAUAGUUUAACAUAAUGUAAUUCAUCACCUUUCAACUUGUUUCAACCAAACAAAAUCAAUUCAUAUAAAUCGAGUAAUCAACAUGGCUUAUGAAUUUCUUAAAACUUUGGCUCGUGCCAAAAUCAUUCACAUACUUAGUUAUCAGGGAUACCUUGACCAAGGGCUAUCCCAAUCGAGUCUGCCAAGGCUGUUAAAAAGUUAUGUACGCAUAAAUCAUGUUUUUAUUUUGAAAAUAUAGCCGUUCCUUGGCGUUGGUUGAGUUCACUCUCACAUGGUGGUUUGGCGUGAAGUGAACUCUAAAGUGUUAACCUCAGGAGUUAUCCAUCCACGCCUCUCAUAUUGAGGUAUGAAUAUAAUAGGGUUACUGUGCCCCUCUAAUAGGCUGGUCCACGGAACCCGUCCCUUGCAGUGACUAAUUUAUAACCCACCAUACAAUAAAAUUUGCAAUAGCAUGAUAUGGCAAUUAUUUUAUUUUAUAGCCUCUCAAGCCAAAUUAACAGUUCAUACAUUUUCAACACAAAUACCAAUUCAACCAUUCAUGCAAAUAUUAUCAUAAGCCAUUCAAUUCAAACCAUGAUUUAUAACACAACAAUUAGUCUCCAAUUACUCCAUUUUCAAAACCAUCAUUCAAUUUCAAGACAAUUUUAUAAAAUCAUUUCAUUUAAACACAUUUUGUUUAUAAAACCUAAAGAUUUACCAUUUAAACACAUUUUUCUAUAAAAUCAAAAAAAAGAAUAAAAACUACUUUAGAUAAUUAAGACGAUAGUAAGGUUACUCACUAUUUCAGAAGUCGAAUUCCGAGGACUCUAAUUCUUGAUCCUCGGGUACUAUCUCUUUACUUUUGCCAGAAUGCUCACCACCU
rnacentral:lncRNA from 1 species